rnacentral:rRNA from 1 species
ACGAAAGCAUGGGUAGCGAAGAGGAUUAGAUACCCUCGUAGUCCAUGCCGUAAACGAUGUGUGUUAGACGUUGGAAAUUUAUUUUCAGUGUCGCAGGGAAACCGAUAAACACACCGCCUGGGGAGUACGACCGCAAGGUUAAAACUCAAAUGAAUUGACGGGGACCCGCACAAGUAGUGGAGCAUGUGGUUUAAUUCGAAGAUACGCGCAGAACCUUACCAACACUUGACAUGUUCGUCGCGACUCUAAGAGAUUAGAGUUUUCGGUUCGGCCGGACGAAACACAGGUGCUGCAUGGCUGUCGUCAGCUCGUGUCGUGAGAUGUUGGGUUAAGUCCCGCAACGAGCGCAACCCUCACUUUUAGUUGCCAUCAUUAAGUUGGGCACUCUGAAAGAACUGCCAGUGAUAAGCUGGAGGAAGGUGGGGAUGACGUCAAGUCCUCAUGGCCCUUACGUGUUGGGCUACACACGUGCUACAAUGGUAUCUACAACAGGAAGCAAGACUGCGAAGUUAAGCAAAUCCCUAAAAGAUACCUCAGUUCGGAUUGCACUCUGCAACUCGAGUGCAUGAAGCUGGAAUUACUAGUAAUCGUGGAUCAGCGUGCCACGGUGAAUGCGUUCCCGGGUCUUGUACACACCGCCCGUCACACCAUGGGAGUUGGUUCUACCUUAAGGCAAGGUUUUAAACCCUUGACCACGGUAUAGUCAGCGACUGGGGUGAAGUCGUAACAAGGUAACCGUA